UACGGAGGAUGCAAGCGUUAUCCGGAUUUAUUGGGUUUAAAGGGUGCGCAGGUUGUUUGAUAAGUCAGUGGUGAAAGUCUGUCGCUUAACGGUAGGAUUGCCAUUGAUACUGUUAGACUUGAAUAUGGAUGAGGUAGGCGGAAUGUGUAGUGUAGCGGUGAAAUGCAUAGAUAUUACACAGAACACCGAUUGCGAAGGCAGCUUACUAACCCAUCAUUGACGCUGAGGCACGAAAGCGUGGGGAUCAAACAGGAUUA
rnacentral:rRNA from 1 species